rnacentral:rRNA from 1 species
UACGUAGGGUGCAAGCGUUGUCCGGAAUUAUUGGGCGUAAAGAGCUCGUAGGCGGUGUGUCGCGUCGGCCGUGAAAACCUGCAGCUUAACUGUGGGCUUGCGGUCGAUACGGGCAUCACUGGAGUUCGGCAGGGGAGACUGGAAUUCCUGGUGUAGCGGUGAAAUGCGCAGAUAUCAGGAGGAACACCGGUGGCGAAGGCGGUUCUCUGGGCAUUACCUGACGCUGAGGAGCGAAAGUGUGGGGAGCGAACAGG